rnacentral:rRNA from 1 species
UACGGAGGGGGCAAGCGUUGUUCGAAGAUUACUGGGCGUAAAGGGCGCGCAGGCGGCUGCUCAAGUCAGGCGUGAAAGGCCUGGGCUCAACCCGGGAAUUGCGCUUGAGACUGGGCUGGCUUGAGUGCGGGAGAGGAUGGUGGAAUUCCCAGUGUAGAGGUGAAAUUCGUAGAUAUUGGGAAGAACACCGGUGGCGAAGGCGGCCAUCUGGACCGCAACUGACGCUGAGGCGGCGGAAAAGCGUGGGGAGCAAACAGGG